AACGCAUAUUGCGCCCAUUAGUAUUCUAAUGGGCAUGCCUGUUCGAGCGUCAUUUCAACCCUCAGGCCUUAGCUAGUCUGGUGUUGGGGCAUCUGCAGCACUGUAUGCAGGCCCCGAAAAACAGUGGCGGUGUCUGCUAACACUCCGGGCGCAGUAAUUUAUUCUCGUCUAGGAUGCGUAGUAGGCUGCUAGCCGUAAAACCCUUUUAAUUUUCAAAAGGUUGACCUCGGAUCAGGUAGGAAUACCCGCUGAACUUAA
rnacentral:misc_RNA from 1 species